rnacentral:rRNA from 1 species
UACAGAGGGUGCAAGCGUUAAUCGGAUUUACUGGGCGUAAAGCGCGCGUAGGCGGCUAAUUAAGUCAAAUGUGAAAUCCCCGAGCUUAACUUGGGAAUUGCAUUCGAUACUGGUUAGCUAGAGUGUGGGAGAGGAUGGUAGAAUUCCAGGUGUAGCGGUGAAAUGCGUAGAGAUCUGGAGGAAUACCGAUGGCGAAGGCAGCCAUCUGGCCUAACACUGACGCUGAGGUGCGAAAGCAUGGGGA